rnacentral:rRNA from 1 species
GAUGAACGCUGGCGGCGUGCCUAAUACAUGCAAGUCGAGCGAACAGACGAGGAGCUUGCUCCUCUGACGUUAGCGGCGGACGGGUGAGUAACACGUGGAUAACCUACCUAUAAGACUGGGAUAACUUCGGGAAACCGGAGCUAAUACCGGAUAAUAUAUUGAACCGCAUGGUUCAAUAGUGAAAGACGGUUUUGCUGUCACUUAUAGAUGGAUCCGCGCCGCAUUAGCUAGUUGGUAAGGUAACGGCUUACCAAGGCAACGAUGCGUAGCCGACCUGAGAGGGUGAUCGGCCACACUGGAACUGAGACACGGUCCAGACUCCUACGGGAGGCAGCAGUAGGGAAUCUUCCGCAAUGGGCGAAAGCCUGACGGGGCAACGCCGCGUGAGUGAUGAAGGUCUUCGGAUCGUAAAACUCUGUUAUUAGGGAAGAACAAAUGUGUAAGUAACUAUGCACGUCUUGACGGUACCUAAUCAGAAAGCCACGGCUAACUACGUG